CUUGAUUAAAAAAUAAUUUACAAUAUAAUAAGCUUGUUAAUUUAAAGAUAACAUAAUGUUAUUUAUCAAAUGAACAAUUAGGUCACGAAAUGGACCCAAGAUGUUGUUCCCACUAAAAGAUCUAGUCAUUUUCAAGUAUCAAAUGCUCAAUGCUCCGGAUAUGAAAAGAACCCCAUUUACAAUUGUAGAGUGAAACUGAGGGAUAAGAUUCCAUUCGCCUGUGUAGGAUUGAUGUGAUAACACCCCAUUAACGUAUUCCAAUAUGAUAAAAUAAAAUUUUGGAAAUAUGUAUCUUAGGCCAAUAUAUUCUGCCAGAAUAUACAAGUAAAAGCAAGAAAAUGACAGAAUUGAAGAGAUAUCAUGAAACAUAUCAAACAAACAGUAUUCACACAUUCAUAAGAAAACCUUUUAAGAAAAUUUGUUAAACAAAAGUAUCUUAUGGGAGAACAGCGGCUGUAUUCAUGAUUAAAUUUGAGGCUAAGCUGUACAGGCUGAAGAUUCAAGUGUUCGGAACAAUCUAUCUACGUUGCUCAAAAAUCAAAUCUGCAGCACGGGCUUCGGUUCUGAAGUUUCCUCAAAAUCCAGAAACAUGUUAAAAAGAUGGGAAAAGACAUUAGAUGAGAACAGAAUCUAAGAUGCAGAGAGUGGGAUAGGCUUUACUGCACUUUGAAUUCGCUUAAAUGCUGCUUUAACUUUUUCCUUGAGGCCUUCAUUUUCGCUCUCUACAUCUCCGCUUUGUUUAUCAAGAUGUGCCACAUUCCCAUCAACAUUUAUCACCAGCUUUCCGUUUUCUCCUAAUUGCACAUCUCCAAAGAGUGAGACAAGCAGUGCAUGAAUAACCUUUUCCGCUUUCUUCCCACUUUCUUCCUCAGAUUUUAUGGCCUCUGAUUCGACAACUCUGCUGUACCGUACAUCCGCCUUGGCCGUACAGCAGUACUAAAGAAGUACGGAACUUAAAUGUUCCUAACCAAGGAUACUUUGAAUACAAAAUGCUACGCUUACAAUUAAAAGAAGAAUAACAGAAUUCUAAAUAUAAAAAUCACCUAAUGCAAACCGAAACCAGAUAAAUAACUUAAACUGCAAUCGAGAUUAACUGUAUCGCACCAUUACAUACCUUAAUUAAAUCACGGCUCAAGUCAUUAAUGUUCUUCACAAACAAAGUGAUUCUCUUUCCUUUUUCCGGAAUUCUUCCGCCAGGUUUUAACUACACAAAAAGUACAAUGACUAUUGCAACAUAAAAAAUGCAAGAGGGAAGUAGAAGCAAGUAGUUACAAACCUCAGAAUUGCGGUAGCCACAAGCAUCACACGUGGAUGCCAUAACAAUUACUUCUUGGAAGUAUGGAAUCCCUGUACAUAGUUAAGGUCGACAAACUUUGCGUGUAACAUCCCAAUUAAAAAUUACGAAGGCACACAGGAGAACGACAAUUAUGCUAAUAAUGAAUAUGGUAAAGAAAGAAAAACAAAAGGCAACACCAAACGUUCGCAUACUUUACAAAUAAGCAUGUCAUUGAAAUUCAGUUACAACGACAAAUAGACUAGUGUUAAAACACAAGGAAUAACAAGAUAACAUCACAUGAACGAGGAUGUUAAGAGACUUUCAGCAUGUAAAUUCUAUAAGGGGGGAAGGGGGGAAUUCAAAUGGAUGAGAAAGCCCACCAAACAUACAAACUGCUGUACCGUACAUCCGCCUUGGCCGUACAGCAGUGAAAAUCUUCGGAGAUCUCCAAAAUCAAAGAAAAAAUUUGAAAACCGUAGGUGAGUUGUUAUUGCCGUUUUUCUUGUUGUUGUUGUUGUUGUUGUUGUUGUUGUUUGGGAUGUUGUUGUUGUUUGGGAUGUUGUUGUUGUUUGGGAUGUUGUUGUUGUUUGGGAUGUUGUUGUUGUUUGGGAUGUUGUUGUUGUUUGGGAUGUUGUUGUUGUUUGGGAUGUUGUUGUUGUUUGGGAUGUUGUUGUUGUUUGGGAUGUUGUUGUUGUUUGGGAUGUUGUUGUUGUUUGGGAUGUUGUUGUUGUUUGGGAUGUUGUUGUUGUUUGGGAUGUUGUUGUUGUUUGGGAUGUUGUUGUUGUUUGGGAUGUUGUUGUUGUUUGGGAUGUUGUUGUUGUUUGGGAUGUUGUUGUUGUUUGGGAUGUUGUUGUUGUUUGGGAUGUUGUUGUUGUUUGGGAUGUUGUUGUUGUUUGGGAUGUUGUUGUUGUUUGGGAUGUUGUUGUUGUUUGGGAUGUUGUUGUUGUUUGGGAUGUUGUUGUUGUUGGUGGUGUUUUAAUGGCGGUGGUGGGUGAGAUGCAUGUGGGAAAGGGAAGAGAAGCUGCUGUACCGUACAUCCGCCUUGGCCGUACAGCAGACAAAAAAAAAUUUAUUAUNNNNNNNNNNNNNNNNNNNNNNNNNNNNNNNNNNNNNNNNNNNNNNNNNNNNNNNNNNNNNNNNNNNNNNNNNNNNNNNNNNNNNNNNNNNNNNNNNNNNNNNNNNNNNNNNNNNNNNNNNNNNNNNNNNNNNNNNNNNNNNNNNNNNNNNNNNNNNNNNNNNNNNNNNNNNNNNNNNNNNNNNNNNNNNNNNNNNNNNNNNNNNNNNNNNNNNNNNNNNNNNNNNNNNNNNNNNNNNNNNNNNNNNNNNNNNNNNNNNNNCAGCAGAUUAUAUAUAUAUAUAUAUAUAAAUGUUUCAGUUCAAAAUUUUAAAGUGCGGGAAAGUGCGGAAAAAUUUUAAAACUGCAUGAUUUUAAAGGUUUCUGCUGUACGGCCAAGGCGGAUGUACGGUACAGCAGAAAUCCAAUACGAAGGGAUUUCAUCAUGAGAAAUGUAGAAUCCGCAAAAGAGAAGAGAAAGGCCUAAAAUCGCUACAACAAUGGUGAAACCUAUCUGUAUAUUGGGGAUGAAUCCAGCGACGAACGCCAUGAACGAAGUUCCAGCCCAGUAUGAAGCAAACAUUGUGAUGAAGAAGAAGAGGAACCCCGAGAAGCCUCCGGCUAGACCAACUGCCCAAAAGGUUGUUAACGCGAAAACAAGAGAAAGGGUGAUCAUGGAAGGAAUGGAGGCCAGAGCAUGAGCAAGUACAUAAGAUGAGACCCGGUAAGCGUUGUAGGAAGUUUCUCUUAUGAAAAUGUUCCGCUCUUGAAGCAAUGCGGGGAUUUCUCUUGCACAAUUGUAGAAUAUGGUGGUCAUGGCAAAUGCAACAAAAGCUAAGCGUAGUCGUGUGCCUUUUGGGGAGUCAUCGAGUUGCCAAUAAAGGGUGGCCAGUACACAUGCAAUCACAAGUUGUGCUCCUAGGCGAGUGCCAAAUAAUUCGGGCAUUCUUCUUGAGUUUGUGUUUGAUCUUUUGGAAAGAAACAGCAUUUCGGUCCAAAAAGGAUUGACAAAAGUUUGAACAUUUUUGUUUUUACCAGCCGAGACUAAUUUACCUCUGGAAAUACUUGCCUCGAUUGCGUCUUCAAGAUCAACAUCGGGUUGAUGAUCAGUAUCGGAGGCCAUUUUUGGAUUUCUCGUCAUCUGCCAGGACUUAUUGAAUUGAACUAAGCUGCUGAUUCCGCUAGGAGCUUCUUCAAGUUCACGAAUUAAGUCAAGAGAAAACUCACAUGGGUUUUCAUUCUCAGGAAUCGGAUGCCCAAACUCAGCAAAGAAUAGACUAAAAUCAGUGGCUGGAGUUCCGCUGUACACAGUCUGUCCAUGUGAUAGAAAUAUCAAACGGUUUAGUAGGCUGAAAAUUCUGUAACUCGGCUGGUGUAUGGACAUAAUCACAACACUUCCGCUCUUUGCAAUUUCCCCCAAGACCUUAACAACCUUAAAUGCACUUGUGGAAUCAAGCCCUGAUGUGGGUUCGUCGAGGAACAGCAGAAUUGGAUCAUGAAUUAUAUCAAUUCCAAUCGAAACACGCCUGCGUUCGCCUCCUGAAACGCCUCUGUGCUGCUCAUCACCGAUAAAAGUCUUCGCUGCACUUCGCAAUCCGAGCUGAUCAAUAAGAGCUUCAACUCUUUCUCGUUUCCUUUUCUUGGAGACAGAGCGUGGAAGCCGACACUCUGCCGAAAACAUGAGGGUCUCUUCUACGGUUAACAUAGGGAACAGAAGUUCAUCUUGCAUUACAUACGCAGAUAUGAUCUUCAAAAGCCUUGACUCCAAAACUGCUCCAUUCAAAGUCACAGUCCCUUUCAAGCUCUCCUUCUCAAUGCGGCCAGCCAGAGCAUCAAUCAGAGUUGAUUUACCAGCUCCGCUAGCCCCGAGAAUCGCCAUUAUCUCACCUUCUCUUGCUACCCCAGAAAUAUCAUCCAGUAGAAGUUUUGAAUUAACACCAUAUGAUAAGUUGUUAAAAGAAAGCACAAACGGGUGAGUCGUUGAUGCAGGGCUGCUAGCAUUGGACAGGUCAAUCACCUGAUGCUGAUCUUCGAGAUCACGGAUAGUGAGGGGAUCUUUGAAUCUGGCACUGCGAUUAUUAUUUUUUCCAGCCUCUGUUUUUUGCUCUGUUUUUGGUGCAUGGUGAAUGAGGAGCAAAGGGUUGUCGCCUGCACUUAGGGGCGACAUGUUUGGUGCCUCCAUAAUGACAAUGCUAAUAUGUUUGGAUCCAAAUUCGGAAUGGAAAUGCAAUGCAUAUAUAACUUGGUGGGCUUUGAAUUUAACUUUUAAAACGAAUCUUAUAAUAGCAAAAGAAAUCAUGUCCACAUUCCUUUUUUGAAUUUUUUUAAUAUCUUUGGAAGUAGUCCAUACUGUUAAACUUGCAAUAAAAAAAAAUGACAAUAAUUCAUUUGCUUGCUUCUCUUCUUACUUCUCCGUGUUAAACUACUUUAUUUUCACGCAAAUCAUCAACUAGACUACAUCCUUUAUUUGACUUAUAUAUAGAUAUAAUCAUUUUCAAAUGGCAGCAUCUUCAUUUUUUAUUACGGUUUACUAAUUAAUCAAAAUAAUUUUAUUAAACCAUAUAAUUUAAUUGUGAAUUAAAAUUGAAUUAAUUUUACAUUAAAAAAUAAUAAUAAGAACAUUCGCAUUAAAAGAGGAUUAUAUAUAUAUAUAUAUAUAAAUGUUUCAGUUCAAAAUUUUAAAGUGCGGGAAAGUGCGGAAAAAUUUUAAAACUGCAUGAUUUUAAAGGUUUAAAAUUAUAAGUCUUUAAAAUCGUACGGUUUUAAAAUUUUUUCGGACUUUCCCGCAUUUUAAAAUCACUGAUCAGAAAAUUAUAUAUAUAAUCUUUUACAAUAUUGUAAAAUUAUUUACACUAAUUUUACAAAAGUCGUUUUCACACUUUAAUAAAGUGUAAAACCUCAUUAAGAAAACACUCUAUAAAUAUAAUAUGAUACUUAAGGAAUAUCCCUCUUUUUCCUUAACCUUCAAGUUGUCCUUACUGUAUUGUUUUCUUUCCAAUGUUAGAUGUACAUAACUUCAUUAAUCAUUAUAACACAAACGUGUUGGCCGAAGUGAAAAACAGAAACAAACAGCAGAAAAAAUAGCAAUGGACAGCAGAUAAAUAGUCGAUCAAACAGCGGCAGAAAACGGCAAUAAACAUCAGGUAAAACAGCAGCAGAAUUGCAGAAAACACUAACAAAAGACAAGAGCAGGCAGAAAGAGCAGCCUUUAUUGUUUAAUAAAUUAUAAAUAGUCAGUGCGCGUGCAUUUAUUCAUUGUCCUAAAGACCAAAUUGCCCUCUCCAGGACAUGAAUCUUGGUUUAAAAAGGGGUGAUUUGACCUUCAGAAUACAUUACCCACUUACACAACUUUUAUAAACAUGCAAUUUUAAUUACAAAACUAUUGGAAAAGUGAUAUCCACCCACUGUGGCAGAUCAGAAAAAUAAUUUAUUAGAGACUAAUUUAGGUGGUAGUAAAAUAUAAAAAUUAAAACUUUAAAUAUGUAAAAUAUUUGUUAAUACAUUUAUAAUUGUUGUCCAAGUAUUUUCGUAUUUUGAAAAUAUUAUGCAAUAAAUUCAUUAUUAAUAUUAUUAAAUAUAUUUUUCUUAUAUAAACAACCAAAUUAUAAUUCAUUUCAUCAUAUUCCAUAGAUGAUUCUUCACGAAUUUUGUUAUUGAAAACUUCGCUCUAGUAUUAAUAUGGAAACUAGAAGAAUUAAUUCUGUUUUUAGAACACAAGAAUGUUAAUCUUUUACAAUUCCUAAAAGUUAGAGUUCAAAUUUUAUGGUUUAUAAAAUUAUAGGGCCUAUGUUAAUAGAUUUAAUGGAGGCUAAUUAGAGACCCAAAAAAUUUUCUUCUUUUAUCUUAGAACUUUUUUUUUUGGGCUAGAGGGGGCUUGAGCCCGCUGGUCACAUGCUGGAUUUGCUGUUGGUCACCCGCCGAUGAACCCCAGACUCAACUCCACAAAAGUAAAUUUUGGGGGUAAUUUUGUUAUUGAUUUGAAAAUUUGAACAACUUUAUUAUUACUUUUGAGUUUUUUUUUUGAAUUACAUGAGAUUCAUGCUCCGAUUACAACUCAUAUUAUAUGAGAUUUACAACUAAUAUUUACAAUCAGACAAUUACUGGGCCUAAUUUACCUUAAUUUUUAUGUAGCACUGCUUAAAUUUUACCCUCUCUAAUAUUUGAGGGGUGUUUACUCUACUCACAUUUCGAAAUAGAGUAAACUACCUUCACUUAAUAAUUAAGAAAGGAAAUAAGUCCCUACAUGCGUUGCGGGGACUCGAACCGUUGCGCUCACAGUUGUGAGUGCAAGGUUCUGGCCACUGGGUUAAGGCCCAGUUGGUUUAUUAUUACUUUUGAGUUUUAUUUACACUUUUGUGGGGCUGAAACUUAUUCACUAUCAAAACUUAAAAAGUCUUACAACAAUAUUUUUUGAAGUAUUCUUUAUACGGGUGAGAUAUCUUUUAUUUUGGAAGGAAAGUAAUAAUGUUAUAACCAAAAAUUUGGCGGCACAACUAAUUAAUUUCCACGGUUGUCAAUUACGCAUCCGUUGACAACUAGAGUUUCAUUCUACGGUCGUCGUGGCUGCAGAAGUACCCCCACUACCCAAGCGUAGCUAUAUUUGUUCUUUCAAUUUUCACUAAUAAGCAAAGGUAAAGAACAGAUAUAAAUAUAAAACCAAAAUAUAUACCCUAAUUUUUGGAAAACCUUAUAUUGAAUUAAAAUAGCAAACACCUUGACCACAUUUUGGAACUCCCUUAAUUGGUUGCUGCUACUUCCUGCUGUACCGUACAUCCGCCUUGGCCGCACAGCAGAUAAAUAGUUUAUUCUAAGAAAAUAUUAAUUUUGUACUAAAUAAUAUUAUAUUAUUAUUUUAUAUAAUAAUAAAUUUAAUAUAAUUAUAUUAAAUAAAAUAAAAUAAGGUUUCAUUUUGUAUUAAAAUUAAUAAUUUAUUGUUCAUAAUUAAGAAUAUUAAUAAUUAUAAUAAAUUUACAAAUAUAAUAAAAUAAAUAUUAUUCAUUAAAUAUAUUUUUUAUUAGUUUUGUAAUUAAAAACUAUAAUUCUUUAAAUAAGGAUAAAAUUGUAAUUUGAAACUAUUUACUCCCAAUCCAAGACAAAGUAAACACAUAAAUUGGAUUCUGAUCUCUAUUCCAUGCUUCCAUUCCAGUAUAAGUAAACAACAUACUCCCACUCCCACUCCACACUCCCAAUCCUAGGAUUCACACUCCUCAAGAUUCCCAAUCCAAUCCAAAAAGUAAAUGCAGCCUAAAUGAUUUACUCCAGAUAUCUACCAUACUUGACCUUAAGUUCUUGAAGAAAGAAAAUUAGUAGCUUUAAAUUAUCAAAGAUUUUAUGAUUUCAAAUCAGCCCUCGAUACUAAAAAACAACAAAUUAGCCUGAAUUUUUUCAUAAGUAUAUUAGCAAAACAUAUAGCUAGCAGUAUGUCUCAGCACACAUCGCCAAGUGUUCAAAAUACAUAAAGUAGAAAAGUUGCUUUAACUUCCAUUAAUACUUUGUCUUUUUACAAUCUUCGUGAAACAAUGGUAAAAAAUUUCAAAAGAUUGGAUGACAGGUGUAGAGAUCCUUAUGAAGAAAGAAAUUCUCAAAAGGAUAAGCUUAAGACUUUAUUAGCCAUCUCGCAGAUAAAGGUGAAAAACCUUUAUCCUAUUAAGAAAAUAGCAUAAAGUGGCUAUUUUGAGGCCAAUUUUGAGCAACAUAAAUAUUGACGAAAUAUACAUGCAUAGAUGUUUCAGAAUCUCCUUUGUGAGCUCUUUACAAGGAAUUAUAGAAUGCAGAAAUUAGCACUUAGGUGAAUGAGAAAUCGGGUCUCAAAGAGAAAAUGUUGUUAUGAAAAAAUGAGGAAAAAUUGCACAUGAGAUUUUAACUAACUAAUGCCCCCUUGAAACCCAUAUAUAUAUAUAUUGGCUUUCAUGUUCAAUUACAAGACACACCAGAAUCUAAGUGGUUUUCUUUUAUAUCUUUAAGUUUCAGUAUGAUAAAAUUCAAACAUUUGUUUAAAAUUCGUAAAAAUAGUGAGAUUAUGCUAUCAACACUAUUCAAAUUCGUUGUAUCCUGGGAGGCACACCAAUAUAAUUCAAGCACUAUUGUGAAGGUAGAGAAUCUAUUUUAAGGACACUGUAUUUUUACAGGCCUCGGGUUAGUAAUUUUUUUUUUUACAUAUUGUCGAUUUAUUUGCUAUUGCAAUUUAUUUUAUUAUUGUUAUUAUCAACUUGUGAUAAGUGGGUCAGAGGCUUAUUAGUAAGAUUAAGUGCACUAGAAAGAUUAUGUCACGAAAACUAUAUAUACAACGCCUAAGGAGUUUGAGUUUUAAAUAGAACCAUUAUAACCCCUCCAAUCUUUCUUGGGAACCUAACUAGUGUUUUUACAUACGAAGUGGGUGGUCUUAUGGCACUUGAAAGAAAUAAUAAUAUAUCACUAUAUAGCCCUAAUGGUUAAAGCAACUAUUAAGUGCAAAACACUGAACCCAUGAGAGCUAAAAAUGAGAAAAAGCAUAUAUUUUUUCUUUACACAUAUUGAACUUCAAAACUACCCCAUUAUGACUGAUUUAUUUAAAGAGUAUCUUGCCAAAAUGUAAAAUGACAAAAUGAAGUUCAUUUAGAGUUCUCUAAAACUAUUCUAAACGGAGCUAUGAAAGCCCAGAGUUUGCCUGCUGAACACUUGAAUUUCUCAUCUUAUGGCAAACUUAUUAUGACAAUACUCACAAUAUCUACCACUUAAAUAUGUAGAUUGUAAGUGCCAUCUCACCUACAGUAUUGCAAGAGUUAUCAUUGAUCUGGGACAAUUUACUCCACAAUUUUUGUUAGAUUUUGGUUUUUUUAAUCAAGUUAUUGUUCAAGACCCAAACCAGACAAUUGUAUUUGGAAGAAAAUUAGCAUCAACCAUGCUCAACUUAAUGUCAAUAGGAAAACAGCUCGUAGUAGCUUACAUCUAAUCAUAAUCACUAAAAUGAAGAUUUAAGAAAGAUGUAUAUUAUAAGUUUGAAGCCCAACAUUCUAUUUUUCUCAAGGGAUCUAACACCACUAGAGAACUUGAUAACUUAAAAGGUUCCACUAUUCACUGGAUUUGCACUAGUAAUUCUUUAACCGUGUAGAUUAGACAUUGGAGAAGCAAAAUAAUAACAAGAGAAUUUAAGAUUCGAGAAUUCACUGAUCAUACUAACUGAUUAUUGAAGACUUUAAUAAAAAAAAUAUAUUCUCGCCAAGAUAUGCCUUAAGUCCCUUUAUUUCUAAGACCACAAAUGAUCAGCUUGUAGAUUUCUACCGAGAGCUAUACAAGGAAGAUCUCAAGCUUAUAGAUCUCUCAUGAAAGAUCAAUCAAGCGAAGAAGAAGAUGAUGGUAGAGGCUUCUACAAUGAUUUAGAUGAUGCUGACACCACAAUCUUGAAAACAUAUUAGAACCUUGACUUUGUAGUAGUCCACUCUCUAAUUAGUCACCCUUCACUUAGUACCUGAAAAGUUGUGGUGAUAAUUCUGCCGGUACUCACCAUUUUCACGUGAAGAAAAAGACAACCUCCUUUUCUAAGUGGAUGUCAUACUCUCUAUAAUUUGGAUCACCCACAUGAAAAUAAGGAGAUAAAAAUAAAAGCUUUUAUGAACUCUAUAAAUAGAAGGAAUUUUCUUUUAGACAAAAUAAUCAUAUUAAUAAAAAAAUAUCUUGUAGUAAAAUUCAAUCUGUAAAAGUUACGAGACACUUGCUCAAUUCUCUGGAAGUCAUUACAAGUAAGCUAGUUUUAUUUAGCAUAAUGUACUGUAACUAAGUUGUUUAGUUCUUCUUUAAUAAAUAAAAUCAGUCUUUUGUAAAUUUUUAUGUGUUUAUAAAUGAACAAAUUUAUAUAUUGUAAAUCUUUUUUCUUUUAUUUGUAUUUAAAGAAUAUUUUCUAUCUAUAAAGAAUAAAAUUAGACUAUAGGGUAAAAUUUAGAUUCCUAGAAAAAUCUAAAGCCUUAAAAAAUGACCUUUGAGUGCCCAAUUUUACUCCUAAAUACCGUUUUAAUCGAAGAAUAGGUGUUUUAAAGAAGAAGGGAGGCUUGGUAUUGAGAUUUCCAUGACUCAAAGAGAAAGAAAGUUUUUUUUGAAAAAACUUUAGUUUUAAUCAAAAAAAUUAAUUUUAUACUCUGAACUUUUAGAAGUAAUUUUUUCAAAAAGAAUUUAUGAAUUUGAUUAAUAUUUAUGACAAAACUUGUUAUCUAACAAAUUUGAUUAAAGUUUAUAAAAGAAUCUAAGAGUAUCUAGUAAAGAAGAAGUACUUAUGAGAAUUUUUUUAAUCAAAAUUUGCUUGCAUGCUCUCAGAUAAUGAUACUUGUUUUACUUUAUAAGAUUGUUCUAUUUUAUCAUUUAUUGAAUAAAUUAAACAAGUUAUUAAUUUAGGAAGCUAAACCGUAAUAAGAGUCAUAUUGAUUGUAACAUUAAAUUAAGAAUUAUAACAAAUAUAAAAAUAGAAGUAACAUAAAGAAAAAAUACGAUACAAGAAAUAAUAUAGAAAAUACUUCUAAAUGAUUAAUUUAGAAGAAGUUAUAAUUAAAAAUAUUAUAAAUAGUCGAAUAUUAACAUUAUUUUUAUUCCGCUAUUCUCAAUUUAGUAGAUUUGAACUAAUAAUAACACUAGAAUACUUUUAAAAAAAUGUAAUAUAAUACAUAUAGAUAUCGUAAUUACUAUAAUCUAAAUUCAAGUAGUCAAGAGACUAAAAGAAAUUUGAUUUAAAAUAAGAAUAGUCUUAAUUUAUUCGACUUUUUAUAAUUUUAUAAGAAGUUUAAAAUGUAUAACAAAAGAAACCCAUUCGGAGUUUGACUCCGCCUAAAUAGCAGCACUCAUAAUAAAUGCAGUUCAAAAUUAAUUCUGAAAAAAAUUUGACGAUGAGAUCUCAAGCGAUGUGACGUGUGUGUGUUUGUAAAAGGCCAAUGGUGACACGUCACCACUAAAUAAGCAAAAAAUUAUUAGCGUGAAUAAAUAAUUAAACAAUAACAAAUAAAUUAAAGGAAAGAACCUGUCCUGCAAGUGCCAUCCAGCGAGACUGGCGACUGUUGUCAAAGCAGCUCUCCAUUUUAGCACCUUCUCGUGAUUCUCCUUAAACUCCUCUUCAUAUUUAGCAAACACUCUCUCAAAAUCUUCUCCUUUCUGCUUCCGCACAUCCGCCGGAUCUACGCCGUAAAAGACGGCGAAAACUUUACGAUCCUUCCUCUUGUUCCCGCACUCAACAAUCUUCGCAAGCUCAUCCAAACACCACGGGGAAGAAGCGUAGUUUUUCGAUAAGAUUACAAUCGAAACAUUGGAUUCUUCAAUUGCCUUCGAGAGCUCUGAUGAAAUCUCGUUUCCUCUGUCCAGUGUUUCGUCGUCCUUAAAUGCGAUGAAUCCGUUGCGAAUUAAAGCGGUGUGGAGGUUGUCGGUGAAAUUGUUGCGAGUAUCUUCGCCUCUGAAACUCAAAAAGACGUCGUAUUUGCUUUGAAGAAUUUGAUGAUGAGUGGAAGAAGAUGAAGUAUGAGAGGCCGCCAUUUCGAAGGCCUUUGGGAUCUGUGGCUAUUAGAAUUUAGAGAAGCGUUUAAGCAAAUGAAAAGAUUAUAAAAUAAAAAAUAAAAAAUCUGAAGCGCUGUCGGCGAGUUUUCGACAGCGACCCUGUACUCUACAACAAUUUGAUUUGAUGGAACAAAUGCCGUCCGAUGAUAAAUUAGUAAAUACAUAAUGAGUCUUAUUAAUUUUUUAAAUACAAAAUUUUAUGCGUCUUAUAAUGAGAUUUUAUUAGUAAUUUUAUUUUAAAACUUAUUGUUAUAUAUCCCAUAACAAAACCAUAAGGUGAUGAGUUUGUCUCCUGCACGUUUUUCUACACAUUUACAUGUAUAAUCCAGCUUUAUUUUUGGCUCCUAAUUCAUUUUAUUUUUUAAUAUUAAAAUUUAUCAGUUAAAUAAAUUCUUUAAAAAUCAGGAUCAAAAUUUUCGGACUGUUUUUUAUCCUUAAUUGCUAGGAUUGAAAAAUAUUAAGAAGGGAUUUAUUCUCUAGGAUAUUCUCAAGGAGAAUAUUUUCAUGGAGCCGUCUGAUUUUGCAUUUUAUUGUUUCAUUGCAUCCUUCGUAUUUCUGAUAGGCAUUUUGGUAAUUUUAAUAUAUUUGUGCAUUUGAUUUCCCAUUAACUAUAUGUCAACUCAUUAAUGGCCAUUUGAGAUUUACUUCCAAAUUCCAAUGAGAUCUUCCAGUCUCUUUUCUGAAAAUUAAACGAGGUGAAUCACUCUAAUUAUGAAUGGGUAUUCACCUUGAUUUUUAUUAAACUGAAUCUAAUUGAAACCGGAAUAAUUUAAUUUAUAUGCGGUUCAUAUAUUUUUGAACCAAUUGAUUUUAGUUUGGUUCAAUUUAGUUCUUAAAUAAAACAAAAUCGAACUAAUUAGUAUCCACCUCAAUUAUAACAAUAAAAUAAUCUUUUAUUUUACAUAUUUUAUCUAGGAUUAUAUAUUUAGGCCACAUGGUGCGUCUUAUUUGGCUUAACAAAAUUUAAUGAUCAACAAGACUUGGUUUGGUAUCGACGGUAGAACAACUGUGGUGAGAGAAGAGCCAGUAAAUGUAGCACCUCAAUACUAAUUUAUAAACAUUUUGUUCCUUCUUCCUGUAAUUAGAUAAAACAUCAAGGGAGGCCUCUUCAAUUUACCAUCCUCCAGUCCUCCACGCUGCUUUGUUUUUAACCAUACAUUCAUUAAAAGAAAAGCUGACCACUCAUUCUCUUGCAAUCACUAAACAACAAAAUUAGAAAAAAGAAAAUCCAAGACUCGUGGUCGUUUAUGGUUAGUGGAGUAGUCGUUUCGUUUGCUCGCCACUACUCACCCGAGCACAAACAAUCACUCACUCCAUGAUCACCUCUUCAAGCUUCAAUCUCGAAGCCACUCUCCUAACGACCACUAAACUUGUACAUUAUUUACCACUCGAGCCACCACCACCACUUCACGGCAUCAAAUGCUGCACAAUCUUUUCUCCUCCUCCUCCUUUAGUUAACAAGUUAACACACAGCAGUCGAAUUUACGCUAGUAUCGUUAACGGUAACGGUAACGGUAACGGUGAUAAUGGGAAGAAUAGAAAAGAAGAUGAAGACGAACAGAGAAAAGUGCAUUGUGAAGUUGAAGUGGUUUCUUGGCGGGAACGAAGAAUUAAAGCCGAAAUGUUGGUCAACGCCGAUGUUGACUCCGUUUGGAAUGCUCUCACUGACUAUGAGCGCCUCGCCGAUUUCGUCCCCAAUCUUGCUUGCAGGUAAAAUUGAUGAUUAAUUUUUAAUUAAUUGUUUAUUUUUUGAGCAACGAGCACGUUCACAGCGGUAGCGGAAUAAAGAUUUCGGUUGUAAUUAGCCAUAACACAAAAGUACAAAACCUGAGGGAGUUUAAAGAAAAUAUUUAGUAAUUUACGGAUGUGGAUAAAAUUUCAUCGAAGUCCCUUACGCUUAGGAUAAUUUUUUUUGAAGACCCUUAUGUUUGAAUUGUUUAGUAUUGGGAUGUAUAACAUAGGUUGAUGUUCGAAUGUCAGUGGGAGAAUUCCCUGUCCAUAUCCAGGGCGAAUAUGGCUGGAGCAGAGAGGCCUUCAAAGGGCAUUAUACUGGCAUAUUGAAGCUCGUGUAGUUUUGGAUCUCCAAGAGUUAAUCCAUUCAGUAAGCGUUUUAAAACCAAGUACAGAGAGUGGUUUUUUUUUUUAACUGUAUAAUCAUUUAGGUUAAAGCAUAUUCAAGGUACAUUAUCUAUGCUGCCGACAACCAUACGAAACUAGUAAAAUUGAAUUUGUAUCAUAUGCUGAUAUCCUUGCAAACAAAUUUAGCACAUAUUUAUUUAUUUUUAUUCAUGAGGAUCCCGUGCUUCCACUUUAGUACAUUUGAUGCCUUGGUUAAUAGGUUUAUGUAGCUUUGUUUCUGCUUUUCUAGCAUUUAUUUGGCUUCCGCGUACAAGUCUUUGAAAUUUUGCCUUUGUCACAUAUGAUUUAAAAUUUAGUUGUCACAUAUUUACUCAUUUGCACUCAUGUUUGUUACCUAAAUAAUAUGGUCAAUGACUUAGGCCAGUGAUCGAGAACUCUACUUUUCCAUGGUUGAUGGUGACUUUAAAAAGUUUGAAGGCAAAUGGUCCAUAAAAUCUGGGACGAGGUAGAUUCCGCUUACUCAUUUUUAAGCUAGAAUGCUUAGUGUAACAAAAUUGAACUACAUUUCCUACUAUCUGCCUGUCUUAGCAUUCUUUUAUUUUGGAGAUGUUUGAUGCUUGUUCAUCUGAAGCUGACUUGAUAGUACCUUAAUUUUCUUUUUCAUAAGAAACUCAUAAAUGUAUUAGUAAAGAAGAUUUAAAACAGAUAGUGGACCAGCUGUCCAAUAAGAAACCAAAAGCUAGGACUAUUUGUGCCAUACCCAAUCACCCUAUACAGGGCUAGAAUCAGAUAUCUCCCUAUCUCAAAACCCUAUCCCAUUUUAGAUGAAUGAAGAGAAAUGAUGAAUCUUGAAACUCCUUAGAAUACGAACUCUAUCCCACAGUUCUUAAGCAUUAUCUGCACUUUUCCCCUAACAAAUAAGAACAUUUCUUUCCUCAUGUUACCCAAAACAGAGCUGCCACUGCACAUUUCCAAAGAGUUUUAGCCUUUGUUCCUCUACCAAAAGCAAACGAUUUCUCCAUAAGAAGAGAAUCACAAGAACCCGGAAUGACCCACAAAAUAUUAUCUUCUUUGCACAACCUAUACGACAACUUUGAAGCCACAAAACAGUGAAGAAAAAGAUGAUUCGAAUUAUCUGGAAUUUUCUUGCGCAUCACACACCAAGGAGAGAGACAUAAAUUAGGAAACUUUCUUUGGAUUACUUGUCCAGUAUUUAAUUUUCCUUGUGCCAAGGCCCACAAGAAGACUUGAAUUUUAGGAGAUGCUAGCCUUCCAAAUCAUUUUGAAGGUUAAAAAUUCUCCAGCAGAAUUGUCAUUGCUGAACUUCUCAAAAUAUGACUUGCAAGUAUACUGUCCUGAAGCUUCCAUAUCCUUUUGUCUUCCUCCUUAAUUUCAUCCACAUGUGGUAUAGGCUAACUUAUUUCUUCAUUAGCUUACAUCAUUUCAUUGUAAUUGAUAGGCUUUCUUUAGGAUUUCUUCUCACCCUGCAUCAUCAGGGAGGGACGGAAUCAAGAAUAAGCGAAGUUAUCUUCCUUAAUGCCAGAGAACAUUUUGUGUAAAUAAUUGGAAAACAUUGAUUUAGGGAGAUUUGCCUAGCUUGGACAAGGUUUUUGCAGCCUUUCAUUAGCAACCAAGAAACCUUUGGAAUAGUUUCCAAAUUCGUCUUGAUAUCAAGGAAUUCACAUAAAUAUGAUGCUUCUCCUAGUUAGGCUAUGAUAACCAAGAUGUCAUAUGCUUGUCCCCUGACACCAAGAAAAAGGAUAAAGUGACUCACUCAAAAUGACUUAUAACGCUGAGAAACAUAAUUUCAUCCCUUGAUAAUACUAGUGAGGUCAAUGGUAACUUUCUCCAAGUCAAGUUGGAUCUCUCUUCUUUCCUGAGUCGUCUUUUCUUUUUUUUUUUUCCUCCAUUUUCUUGGGUUUGUCCAAUAUAAUUAUUCUCUUUUUUCUUGUUAAUUUUUUUCUUUUAAUUCUUAUGGAUGAUAUAACUGUGCAUUUCCAGUUAUUGAUUGUCAUUUUAAGCUAUUAAAAAUAUUGUUUUACUCUCUUAAUUUCUUUUUACGACCACUUCUUUCUUUUUUCAGGUCUUCAACAACCACUUUAUCAUAUGAAGUUAAUGUGAUACCUAGAUUGAACUUCCCGGCCAUUUUUUUGGAGAGGAUUAUCAGAUCAGAUCUUCCUGUGAAUCUUCAAGCCUUGGCUUGUCGAGCUGAAAGGAGUUUUGGAUGGAACCAGAAGAUACCGAUGAUAAAAAAUUCCUUCGGUGAACUAUCUUUGCCCAUCCUUGCUUCCCCCAGCUUAGACUUUGAUGGUGGACUACCUGAGAAGGGUAAAGCACCACAUGGAGAGUUUAAUGAAAACAUUGUGAGCUCAAACUUUGGUUCUGUGCCGCCAUCUUCGAGUGAUUUAAACAGUAAAUGGGGCGUUUUUGGACAAGUUUGCAGACUUGACAGGCCAUGUUUUGUGGAUGAAGUUCAUCUUCGUAGAUUUGAUGGCUUAUUGGUAACUCAUUGUCUCUAGACUACUCUGAAUAGGCCUUCCUGUCCCAAGGAGGCCAUUUUUUGUUUUGGCAGUUGCUGAUAAAAUGGUUUUGAGCUGAAGGAAAAUGGAGGUGUCCACCGCUGUGUUGUUGCGAGCAUAACUGUAAAAGCUACUGUCAGUGAAGUUUGGAAUGUUAUGACUGCUUAUGAGACUCUUCCUGAGUAAGUAGUUUAUGAUCAUGAGUCAUGAAAUUUUAAAUCAAAGUAUUAGAUUCUGUUCAAAAGGUACCAAAUACUCCAAUUCCAUUGACUUCGGACAUAUAUCUCUGCACUCCUUUUAGCUGGCUGAUUCUAAUAUUUUAUGUCGGGCAAUGUCUAUCACCUAGACAACCUCAAAGAGUGAAAUCAUCAGAAUUCUUUCAAGGGUGUUGCAUGAAGGCCUGAAGCAAUUUGGUUGAUCGUCCUAUAGCUUCAUUAGUAGUUGCAUUUGGAACGCUUCUUUGAAGUUAGAUCUUUCUCACCGUGCAUGGAGCUGUCUAAGAAUAAAUAAUUGCAAUGCAUGUUUUGCUGUUAGUACUUUAGGAUUUUAGCGAGUAUCAAAAUGAUUAGCUUGAAGAUAACUAACUGUAGUUUUCACUCAUGAUAAAAUUGCCAAUAUAGUACUUUUAGGAUUUUAGAGACCUAGGCUGGUUUUCUUUGCAUUUGUGUAUACAUCUGAUAGACUCAAAUUGCUCUACAGAUUUUUUUUGUAGAAUAAAUACACAGAUUUCACUACACAAAAACUUUUCACACACAACAGAACUCCUACACAACCAGGAUAUUCAAGAGACCUGGAACUCUCCUACAUUCACAGUAUUAUUUUCACCAAAUCUGACAAAUAAUGGACUGCCUAAAAUACUAACACAACUGCUUGAUAGUUUAUUACAAACCACAAACACAACCCAAACUCCUAUUAAUUGCCCCUGGAAACCGUUUUCCUUCUCUGGUAUGUGAUAUGGACAGGUGGCCUAUCAGCAUCUAUGGCACCUAUUUGCUGUUUCUGCAUGGUCUGGGUCUUCAUUUGAUGUUCAGUUUGUAGUUUAUGCCUUUAGUCUAAGUUUGACAUUUCUUUUUCUUUAUCAUGAUAGCUACACACAAUAAGUCUCCUGCAAAGCUAAUCGAAAGGAAGAGUUGUUGUCUAAGUGCAUGUUGUAUAUACAUUCUGGUUCUCUUAAUUGAAUUUAGACAGAGUUUCAUGGAAAUGUACUGGGUAGAUAACUAUUCCAUGCAUUUCAAGCAUAUGUUCCUCCUGGCUGAUUUUGAGAACCUCACUAAGUUCCUUCUUUGCAGGAUUGUUCCAAAUUUAGCCAUCAGUAAGAUUUUGUCGCGAGAAAACAACAAAGUUCGCAUCCUCCAGGUAUAAGAAAAAGUUUUUUAGAGUAAAACACUGAGUGCUUGAUUUUAAUAAUAUAGUUUUUUCAAAUGAGUUGAUGUAACUGUAAAAUAAAGUUUUUUCAACUUAUUUGAUAUAACUAAAUACUUCCUAUUGUUUAAAGUCUGCUAUAUUAAUUUAGAAAAUAUUCCAGACAUGGAUGGAAAUCAAAUUACAGGCACGAACAAGAACCUACUAACAAUCUUAGAGUAAAAUAUCAACUCUUUUAUUUUCCAGAACCUUGAUAGCUUAUGAGGAUUCCCUUAUCUGCAGGAAGGGUGCAAGGGUCUACUGUAUAUGGUACUUCACGCACGUGUAGUUAUGGAUAUAUGUGAGCAGCAUGAACAGGAGAUUAGUUUUGAGCAAGUUGAAGGGGACUUUGACUCAUUUCAGGGAAAAUGGCUUUUUGAACAGCUGGGAAGUCAUCACACGCUAUUGAAGUACAGUGUAGAGUCAAAAAUGCAGAAAAAUUCAUUGCUUUCAGAAGCUAUUAUGGAAGAGGUACAUGCAUUAGACAUAGUAUAUGACACUCCAGCUUUCAAUUUCGCCCCAUUUCCUUCUUACAACAUCUAAUUUACAUACUAGUUUUAGGUGUGCUAUUUGAAUGUGAAUAAAUUUGUAUUUUUUACAAAGGUCUCAUGCAUGUGAUCCCUCUGCAACAAAAGGCUCUACACGUACGGCAUGUUUAGGCCAUUUUUUAAAAUAAUUACUCAUUUUGCUUCAUUGUAGAUUUUUUAUGUCAAAACACCACCUUGAAUGGGAUUAUUUCUAAAACUGCAGCCACUGACACACCUAUUUAUGAAUUCUCUCAUUAUGGUGUCCGAUGUUCCAAAAAUGAUUACAUAAGGCUAAUACUACUAGUGGCUUUAAGUUUUUCCAAAUUAUCACUUUCAAGCCUACAGAUUGAACACUUCCAUAACCCAUGUGCAUCUAAAAUAAUCCAUCAAUAACAUACAGUGAAUUUGGACAUGGUUCUAUAUGUAUGUUAUUCUUACAUUUGUGAGGUAAGAAAUUAUUUAUUGAUCUGUCUUAUCUUCAUGAACAGAGAUUCUGUUUUGUGAAAAUUACUUGUUUAUUCUUUUUGCCUAGAGUUGUACUGUUGAAACAUUUACAGGUGGUUGUAGAAAGAUAUUCAUGCAUGUGUUUCAUAACCUUGUAGGUUAUCUAUGAAGAUCUUCCAUCGAACUUAUGUGCUAUUCGAGAUUAUGUGGAGAAGAGGGAAGGAGAUAACUCCUUAGCGAAUGAUUCUGUAGAAACAACUAAUCACACACAAUCAUCAGAUGAUCUCACACAAUCAUCAGAUGAAUUAGGUGCCUCAUCAAGCAGUGACAAUGAAGAUCUUGUAGAUUCGGAAACUCCAAAUUCAUUUAAACAAAGACCCAGGGUUCCAGGCUUGCAAACAAACAUAGAAGUUCUUAAAGCUGAGCUCCUAGAAUUUAUUUCCAAACAUGGACAGGAAGGAUUUAUGCCCAUGAGAAAACAGCUCCGCAAACAUGGUAGGGUGGAUGUUGAAAAGGCCAUCACACGCAUGGGCGGAUUUCGGAGGAUGGCAUCAUUAAUGAAUCUUGCCCUAGCUUACAAGCACCGUAAACCAAAGGGUUAUUGGGACAACCUCGAGAAUUUGGAGGAAGAGGUAUAAUGCUAAAUUUUCUUUUGCCAGUUUUAUUGGAUAUGCCUAUAUUCCUGCUCAAAUAAUCAAUUUACGUGAUCAGUCAAUGACUAGAAAUAUAAUCAAGUAUGCUGUGUGAUAAAUUUUUGAACAUAACUUUAUUCAUCAUCAUAGUAGAUACCUGAUGGAAAAGGGGUUCGGGCAAUUAAAUCAAAACACUUUUCGAAUAUAUAAAAAAUAUACGAAGAAAAAUAUAGGUAGACCAUUGUGCUUAUUAAGGGUUCACAUGGGUGGGCAGGGAAUGGGUUGCCGUUAGUCUGAAUGAUUAAUAAAAAUAAGGAGAUUUGUAUUUUUUUCCUAUUGAUUUAUUAAAUUAUGGCCCAUGAUUAAUCCCUGAUUUCUGCUUCAUAAAUUCCCAUGAAAGGGAGUGCUCAAGCUCAAGCUAAUAAGGACGAUCACAAUUUCUUUUUCUUUUUCUCUUUCUCAUAAAGUUGUACUAUUAAGUGACCAUAUAAUAUUAGGGCUGAUUGCAAUCUUUGUAACAUGAUUAUCGUCAUCCUUCAGAUUAGUAGAUUCCAAAGGAGCUGGGGAAUGGACCCAUCAUUUAUGCCCAGCAGAAAGUCUUUCGAGCGUGCAGGUAAUGAAUAUUACGUAUAUCCAUUUAUGUUGUGUGCUGGUCAUGUCAAAAUGUGGGAGGCUUCAUGGAAAAAAUUAUUCAGAUUGAAUGGACUGCAUCAUAAAGUCAUUGUAGCAACUAAAAACUAAAGUCAUAAUAAAGUCAUCUAGGGAACUUUAGUCAUGACAUUUUGUAUUAUGGGGAGUAGAACUUACUCUAGAAUAUUUCCAAUGGAACUUAGUUAACCCAUCUGGCUUCCUCGCUCAAAUUAGAGUGCAAGAUUCAUUUUCUUUUUUUUAAAUGCUCUUGUUUCAUUUCUAGCCUAAUUUAUCAAAAAUUACUGCAGGGCGUUAUGACAUUGCACGUGCACUGGAGAAAUGGGGGGGACUCCAUGAAGUUUCACGUCUUCUUUCGCUUAAAUUGAGGCAUCCCAACAGACGGGCUCAUAUUAUCAAGGAUAAGAAGGUUGAUUAUGUGGAUCCUGCUAAUUUAGAAUGUGAAGGCAAAAUUCCAUCAAAACCUUAUGUUUCACAAGAUACACAAAAAUGGGCCAUGAAACUCAAAGAUUUAGACAUUAAUUGGGUAGAGUAAGUAUUGAAUUAAUCUUUGAUCGCUAUUUAUGUUUUGAUAGGCCUAUAUCCUAUGACAUUGCGUUGAUUAGUAAUAUCCAAUGAUGUAUCAUGGGAUGCCCUUUAUUUUCUUUCCCUUGAUAGUGCAAUUUUUUUAAAAAUGUAAGUAGGUACAUUAUAUUCAUCCACUCCAAAAGGCACAGUCGAGUGGCUUUCAACCUCUUUAUUUAGCUAGCCGUUCGAGUUUAACUCUCGGGAGAGUUAGGAAAUUAAAAUUUAUUUGGGCUCUGCCCUCUCCUAACCUUUUAAGAAGAAACAUAUAUAAGUUUAUAAAAAGUAUAUAAUAUCCAGCAAUACAGAGUAGGUUAGAACCUUGUGCUUCUUAAUUUUUAAUUUAUAACAGUCAAAAGUGUCUGAUAAAAGCUCACUUAUGCUUAUGAUGCAUUACUUGCCUUAUUAUCUAUUUUUGUCCACAAAAAGAAAUUAUGCUUUCUUGUUUUUAACACUGGUCGUCUGGAAUUGUUAGUGGGAGACUCAAAAGUGAUUGCGAAAUUAAAAGUUAAUUUUAGUGCUUGAUAAAUGGUUUUAAAAGUUACUUUUGGUAAAAUAAUCAUAUUUCAUAACAGAUUUUGAAAAGUAAGGAAAUAAUAUCUUUUUAAAAUUUAAUUUUGAAAAUUUAAUUUUAUGUUUAAUGAAAUUCCAUAAAUAUCUUCACAUUUGUUACAUAAACUCAUAUUAUCCUUUUUUGAUAGGAGUAAUUAAUUAUACACACAAAAAUAUUUACCUACUUAAUUAAUAUAAUGUAAGUAUUUUAAAUAUAUGUGUGUGUAUGAGCGCGCGUAAGUGAUUCUCAAUCAUAUUAAAGUUAUGAAUAAGUUAAAAGACAAAAAAUAUAGACUCUUAAUGUUUUAUUGAAAUUUACGUUUUUUUUUCUUUUAAUUUAUUCCUAACUUUAAUAUGGUUAGGAUCAUUGAUUGGAGAUUCAUUAUAUAUAUAUAUUUGAAAUAUUCUAAUUUAAAAUCCUCGAUUUGUUAACACACAUUUGAAAUGUUUGAAUUCAGGAUUUUUAUUUGUUUAAACUGGAAAAGCUAUUAAAUCAAUAUAGUAUAAUAGUGUAAUGAUAUGACACUAUAAUACUAUAGGAUUUGAAUUAUAUGGCUCAGUUAUAUUUUUAAACUUUAAUAAAGUUUAGGAAACUAUAUAUAUACAUAUAUGUAAUAGUAUCAGUUACUUUUGCCAACGGUGAACUCAUCUACUCAUUAGAACCAUGAAAUUAUCACCUAAACCACCAAAAACUAGGAUGCUUCAAACGAAAUUUCUGUCAUAAGGUUAACUGACCAAGGAAAGAAUUUCCUGAGUCCAUGUAGGAGUGCACGCCGUACGAAAAUUUGUGCCAACCUCCAAAACUGAGCACGUAGUAUGGAUGAAAAUCUAUAAGAAAUUGAAAACAAACGAACAUACAAGAGAAACCAUUAAGAAACUAAAGCAUGGUGUGCCAAAAGGAGCACAGCCAAACCAAAAGCACCUAAGUUGAACCAAGAUAACAGAAGCCAUGCACUCAUACGAAGCCCACAUGCACCCAACAAAGCAACCUCUGAAGUCUAAACACAAUCCGUAUGCGCACGGGAAAUAUCAGCAGAGCAAGUCCAAGCAUGCCAACCGGUAUUAGGAAACCUAUCUACUAACUGAGUUAGCUUCUCUAUAUGUGAGGGUGGCCGUGGUUGGGUUCAGUUGAUUUUUUUUUUUUAAUUCUUUAUAAUGUUAAUUUUAUUUCCAGUUAUUCGGUUUCCAUUCCAGUUUUUUUAUUUAAUUCAUUAAAACGAUCACUUUUUUCUUGAAUUUUAAACCAAACCCAAACCAACAGCUCGGUUCGAUUCAUUCGAUCGCCAGUUGUUUCCCACCCCCUUGUAUAUUGCUUUUAGCGUUACGUCUAUUCUGAGGGCUAAGCCUCAUUCCGUCCCCCUGAUUAGGUGUUCUUCUUUCUCUUUUUAAUUAGUAAGACUCCCUCGUAACAUCGAGAGUUACUCAAAAUUAUAUAUAUAUAUAUAAUAAACUGUUGGGAAAUUGGUAGGGGUGUUCAGAAUCCAAUUCGAUCUGCUUAAUUCAAUCCGUAUAAAUCCGAUCCGUGAUUCAAGUGUAUCACUCGUAUACCCUAAGUUGACAAAAUACUUAUGCCGUCCACCAAUCCGUUAAUUGCCGUUUGUGAGCGCUGACAUCAUAAGGGUAAUCUAGUCUUUUUAAAAAAAUGACAUGUCAUCCCAUUUACCUAGUAAAACACGACAUGUCAUAUGAUAUAUUUUGAUAAAAAUGACAUGUCAUCCCAUUUAUCGGAUAAUUGUUAAUAAUUGCUAAAAAAAAAAACUACUUUAUAACCGAAUAUACUCCUCCAAAAUUUAACCUAAAUUAUUGAAGAUCUACUCCUCCAAGCUCAAACUUGAAUUUUUUAUGGUAUAAUAUGUAUAAUUGUAAAUAAUAUGUUGUUAAUAAUUUUUUAUGGUAUAAGAUGAAUAUUUUUUAUGAAUAAUUGUUAAUAAUAUGUACCAUUAAUAAUUCAUUUUUUUAAUAAAAAAAUGUAUUGUUAAUAACAAAAUAAAAAAAAAUUGUGUAUUGAAAAUUUACAUUAAUUUUCAAGGUAAAUUUAUUUUUUUACCUCAGUUUGAGUUUAAAGGGUAAAAUAGUCAUUUUGCUCAAAUUCUGUUAAGUUCUUAACGAUAGUAAACGAAAAGGUGGACGCCAGAACUCUUUUGUUAACUUAGGGUAUACGAGUGAUAUAAGCGAAAAGUGUUGUAGCACGUUUGAUACUGGUGUCAUUUAAGGGUAUAUGGCUGAUAAUUUCCCUAUAUAUAUAUAUAUAUAUAUAUAUAUAGUUAAAAAUUAUUACAAAUUUAAUUAAACAAUAUUAUAAAUGUGACAUUACAUAGUUACAUAAGCACUAUAACAUAUCUUAGCCAUUACCCAAUAAAAUAUUAAAUAAUUAAAUAAUCAAAUAUACAAAUAUAACUUGUAAAAAUUGUAAAACAAAAUAAAAGUAAAGUCACACGCACUAGCAAAACAAAGUAACAUAACGCCAAGUUACCAACAAUUUGCAAAGUCACCCAAAAGCAAAAUAACAUAAUGUCAAGUCACCAACAAUUUGCAAACAAAAAACCCUAAGCUUCUCCACCGUCACACGCAUUAGCAAAGCCCAAUACUAGUUCGAUACACUCUCGACACCGAUUUGAAGGACGUCGGCUGCGUGAUUCCAGCGAGAGCAAGCCAUCUUCUUCCCCGAGUCCAUCGAGCCACUUCACAAUCACUGGUUCCAGCCAAACAAUUGCACUAAUCACCACUUUUUGACAAGUGCAAUAGCCAUGGUGAAGGAUCAGAUUGUGUUUGGUAUCAGAAACUUCGCCAUUUCAAUUAAUUGUGGCUUUAUUUGAACAAUUAAUUUCGGUGUUAUAUUAAUGUAUUAUUGUAACUUUAUUUGAACAAUUAAUCUCGAUGUGCUAUAUUUUGAAACUUUGAAUGUAUUAUUUUAGUUUUAUUUAAACAAUUAAUUUGUUUAAAUUUUAUUCAAUUUUAAAUUUAAUUGGUAGUAAAAUUAUUUAUAUAUUAGAUUUUUUUUUUAAUUUCAUUAGUUCAUGGAUUGGGGAGAACUAAAAAUUUUUAAUUCGGAAACUAAUGCGCAAAAUGGUGGAUUGGAUAUGGAUUAAGUUAAAUCCGCAUCCGAUCCGCAGACAUAUGAAUUGGAUCUAGAUUGAGUCAAAUCCGCAUCCGAUCCGCAGAUGUAUGGAUUGAAUUUGGAUUGAGUUUAAUCAAUCCGUGGAUUGGAUUGGAUUGAAAAAUUAUAAUCCGUAAAAUUAUGGAUCAGAUAUGGAUUGAUGUCUAAUCCGUAAAAUCCUGAUCCGCGAACACCCCUAGAAAUAGGUGGGUGAAGCAGGGCCACAACUAAAAUAAAAUUGAAAGAAAAUAAAGAACAAGCACAAAAGAGGACACUAGAAAAUUACGUGGUUCGGCUUUUAGCUUCCGUCCACAAGCGAAAACAGAAGGAAAAUAUUUUACUAGUGAAGGAAUUACAAGUAUUGUAAUAUUUUAGCUCACUACCCUAAAUUCCAAUACACUCAAACUCUCAAAUCACUAUAACAAGAGCUUAUAAUUUCAAGCUCUCUUAACUCUCUCUCUAAAAUGCUAAAUCGCUCUCUCUCAAUGGAAUGAAUUUGCUCAUUCUCUUCGUUUCUAUUUACAGAGAAAGUUUUGGUACUAUUCAUCAAUUGUAUAUUAUUUUUAUUAUUUUAUUAAUUUUUUUCUUUGCCCUUUUCGGCCCGUUUCUAUUUUUUCCUUCUUUCUCCAUUUUUUUAUUUUGUUCCAGUCAAAGACGGAAGCAACACCUUCUUCUUCAAAAUAGGUUGGCCCACCUUCUAGAAGGGUGAUGCUCGCAUGCUAUAUUUUUAUCAUUCUCCCACUUGGAGAUUUGAUUGCGAGCCAAUCAUAUCUCCACACCAUCAUUUCUGCUUCGCCAUUUUCAUGUUGCCUACAUUUCUACUAGGCCACAAGAAUUCGUUCACUCCGCAGCUCAUGUAGGAUGGUUGUCAGGGUCUCCAUAUGCUUUUCCAUUCGUUCCAUCCGGUCAAACAUGGCUUUUUCCCGUGCUUCACUGGCUAUCUCCCUCAGCGUCACGGGAUCGUUAAGCCUCGUAUCACCCCCUUGUGCACUACUUCCUCCUGCCUCCAUUGUUUUUCCACUUGCUUUACUCCUCUUCUUGCUGUCAACAGAAGCUUUUUGCUCAGCUCCCCACAGAUGGCGCCAAAAUGUUGAUGCGAGAUUCUGGUUGUCCUCUUUCUACGACCAGGGUCUCUACUCGAUCAACUUCACCACGAUCAGGAUCUCUCCUCGUAAAGCUUCUUCUUCAGAGGUUCCUGCGUACACAGACAGGUCAGAGUACGCCGGUUGUUUCCCCGGCACAAACCCUCUGACGCUCAAGUCAGAAAUGAAGGUUCUGGGAAUGUUUGCCACGAAUCUUAUGGCUUCUUUUUUAAUCUCAGUUCUUAGAGCUCUCUUUUCUUAGUUCUAAUAGCAAAAAGUCUAACCCUUUUACCUUCGCUGGCUACCUUUUUAUAGGCUUCCUCUGAAUCUCGGUCUUCUGUAGUCCACGCCCAUUAUUCUCCCCACCCUCGGAUGUGGAUGCCCCAUUGUCGUCAUUGUGGGCGAAUGGGGAUGGACUUCGUGCCUUGAUUCUCGGAUAGGAAUGCACGUCUUGCCAACUGUCGUUGACCGGGUCUCCUCGCCUCGACCCCUAGCAGGAAUGGCCUUAUGCCUCUAACAGGAGUUUGUCCUCGUGAAUGGCAUAUUCGUGGACGAGCAGAAUAUUCCUGCUCUUGUUUCCCUGCUACCAGGCUCUUACAGGACAUACCUUUUCGUAGAACUCUGCCACCAAAUAUCUGCUCAUCACGUCUGGUCUCGUCGAAGUAUUUCCCUCAAACACCGGUCCCCCAGUUUCUGGUGUUGGGUAAUGUAAUGGACUAGCAGUAGAAACUCAAUGGUUCUUGCUCGCGUGGGACUUGAAAAGGCUGCCAAGAGUCGUGUCGCAUUUAAUUGCGGAUGCAGUGAUGUGGCAGAAAUCUACCCCUCCAUUUGAAUUUCAAACCUACGGUUGCAAGAUUCUCGGAAUAUGUGUCAUUAAAUGCUGGCAGCCCAAGAGUUUGCUUCUCAGUAAGAAAAACCCAAAAUCCUCAAACAUGAAUUCGCCAUUUUCUCCCUUCUUGUCUCUCCGGCGGAUGAACCUCGACAUUAAAAUUUUCAUCCCUGUCUCUCUCUAACCGAGUCCCUGCUUCAGGUAUUUCUUCUAUUUUCUCGGUCUUUGUUAGUUGUAGAUAAUUUCUUUUCUCUUUGCUUUGCUUGGGGUAGUAGUUGGUGGUGGUGUUUUGGUUAUAACAUAGGGAAUGUCGAAGGGUAAGGAGAAAGUCGUUGAGAUUGAUGACGACGAACUAGGUUUCUUGCCUAGUCUGCUCACCGAUCCUGCUUUUGACCCCGGGAUCCCCUUAGAACCCAUUAGGUCUAGUGUCGGGACUAGUGCUAGGAGGAUAUCCCCCCAAACAACCUCCACGAGCGGAAGUAGUGGUGAGGAGGGAUCUUCUGCCUCGGAAAACACCCUAAGUGAGGAUCAAGGAGGUGACCCUGGUGAGGGAUCCUCACCGGGAACAUUGCGACCAGAAGGGCGGAAUACAGCAGGAGGUAGAGCCUUGUCUCGGGAUUAUGCCAUUGAUUAUAUGACGUGCAAAUGACCUCCGACUUAGGUAUAGUAUUCCUGGUGAGAUACCUCUUAAGAUACCAGGAAAGAAGGAUACACCUAGCCGGCCUCCUAGGGGAUAUGUUACCCUGUUUCUGGAGAGCUUUAAGUAUGGGCUGAGGUGUCCCUUGCAACCUUACUUUGCCCGGAUACUUAACGGGCUAAAUCUGGCUCCUGGUCAGCUGAACCCCAAUCGGUGGAGAGUGCUCUCUGGUCUGUUCAUAUUGUGGGACAGAUGUUGCCAAAGCGAGCCCACAGUUGAUGCGGUGAAGCACCUGUACCAGCUGAAGAGCAGCCCUAAAGAUGCCGGCUGGUACUACUUCCAAUCUAGUACCAAGAGAAGGAAACCCAUAACUGAUCUUCCAACUGGUGGUGGUGGGACUUGGAAGAGGAAAUUCUUUUUUGCUGGGGAUCCUUGGGGUCAAGUUGCACAAAUAGACGGGAAGGAUUGUCGCGUCCCACCCCGUUUCACGGUCCCAGGUUGCCUGCUCGCUUUAGAUAUCUUGUAUCCAUAAUUGUUCUUGCUUUAUUGGUUUGUCUCUAACCAAGUGUCUGUUUGUGUUGUAGUUUCUUGGGGUGUUCAUUUCCCGCUCAAACCCGACGAGCUCAAACGGGUCGAGGCUGUACUGGCUCAUUCCUGCUCGAGUCGAGAGCUGAUAACUACCUAUAACCUGCUCGAGUCUUGUUUGGUGCGCCCCGGCCAUAAGAUGGAGGAUGCUGUGAUUGGGGCUCUGACUCGGAAGCGUCCACGACCUCAAACUGCGAAGAGGGACCAAAGCAAGGACGCUCCCACUGCGAAGCGGCUGAACAUUGUGCAAUAGGUUCCCCCCUUGAAGACUUUACCUCCUCCUCCUGCCAAAGUCGGAGAAACUAGUGGAGCAGCCACUGAUCCUGUUUCCUCUUCUCCACCUGUCGGGCCUAGAUCUCGUUUAUCUGACAGCCGAGCAGAACACUUGGGCUCCUAUCUCAACGAGCUUUCCAAACUCGUGAGCAAGAAGGACCUAGAGGACUUUGAUGGCUGUACCUUAGGCGAGCUGGUGGGAGCCAUGCAAUAUAACGCUUUCCAUCUCAGCUGCAUGACCACCUACUAUAAGGCCAAGGUUGGCCGUUAUGACAGGAAGAUGAAGGAGGACAUUCUGUCGGCGAUGACCAGAGCUGACGAUGCCGAGAAGAAAGCAGGGGAGCUGAAUCUCGAGAAUCUGAAGCUGAUAGAGCAAGAAUCUCUUGCUCAAGCAAAAGCCAUUACCCUCGAGGAAGAGCUGACCAAGGUCAAGGAGGAUCUUCAAAGGCAGAAGGCUACGUACGAGGCUCAGCUCGAAUCUCUCCACGAUUCCCACCGAGUUCAGGUUGAGAUCUUGGAGAAGGAGGCUGACAAUCAGUACGACCAGGGACUUCGGCAUUCUUAUCGUUGCAUCAUGGCCGUCAUCGGGAAGCAGCAUCCUGAUCUAAAGAUGGACGACCUUGCAGCUGGUAUCGCCCAACAUAUGGACGAGGAGGCUGCAAAGGAAGAUGCCGAAGGGGUGGAGCCAAUCGUAGUUGAGGAGGAAAACUCUCCUUCUCAUGCCAUUCAUGUUGAUGUGGGUGAGGCGAGCACCCCCGCGGACUCGACUGGUGAUACUCCCCCAGCACUUGAGGUGGACCAACCGACUGAGGCUGCUCGGCUUACGGACCCACCGUCCUCUUAAACAUAUUUCUUGUAUUGUAAUGAACAAUGUUUGUGAAGCUUAUCUGCUCUGUUUAAUUAUUAACAAAUUAAUAAAAAUAUUUUUGAUUACUUUCUUGUGUUGUAAUCACGAGUUACUUUUCCGUUUGAGAAUCUGCUCGUCUUCGUCUGGUCGAGCAGGCUCUGGCUUGGCAUAUGGUUUUGCCACAUGCCUUAGAAAAUUCUUCAAUGCUUGGGAUUCUGCUCGCCUUCGCGCGGUCGAGCAGAUCCUGGUACGCUUGGCUUCUGGUCUCGCCAUAAACAAGCUCUGAGACUUGAUGAGCCUUUGCAUGCCUUAGUAAAUUCUUCAAAGCUUGGGAUUCUGCUCGCCUUCUCGUGGUCGAGCAGAUCCUGGCACGCUUGGCUUCUGGUCUCGCCAUAAACAGGCUUUUGCGACUUGGUGAGCCUUUGCAUGCCUUAGUAAAUUCUUGAACAGUACAGUUGAUUGAAACUCCUCAUUGAUUCAUUUAUUAUUGAAUUCGGCUUACAUGAGAUUGCUUUGAAAUAAGAAAUAAAAAAUAGAAAACAACGGGCACGAACAGAAAUAACUUUAAAACAUGAACAAGUCUUACUAGGGAUAUUUCCUGAGGUGUGCCGCGCUCCAUGGGCGUUUCACCUCGUGGCCAUCCGUGCGAACCAGCUUGUAAACUCCGGGUCCAACUAGCUGCCAUUCCUGGCUUCCACUCGGGUAUCGAGGGAUGUUAUCUGCAUUGAUUCCCUUGCUACCGAGGAGUAACAGCUUCGUGCGAUUCUCUGGUCUCCCCGUACCACUCCAACUACCCCAUUCACCCGGUACUUGAGAGCAAGAUAAUGGUUGGACAGUACUGCUUUGCUCAUCCUCAGAAACGGCCGACCUAGGAUCAUCUGGUAAGGACCCUCUUCAUCAACCACCACAAAAUUCAGUAUCAUAGUCCUUUCUGUCAGGGAGCUUCCGAUCGUGAUAGGCAGCUCGACCACACCCAGGCGGACCAACUUUCCUCCUCCAAAUCCCUUCAAGGAGGUGUUGGUGCGCUCCAAUCUCAGGUCUGCUAUUCCCAUCUCCUCUAGAGUGGACUUGAAUAACACAUCAACUGAGCUUCCUGUAUCGACUAGUAUCCGGUCAAACUUCUUGCUAGCAACAGUGGCCUUGAUGACUAAGGCAUCCUCGUGUGGGUAUAAAAUCCAUUCUUCAUCCUCGUCUGUCCACAUGAUUGGCACCUGCCUGACUCUUGCUCGUUUGCCUGCCGGGGUGUUGAAGAAUACCUCUUUACUAGUCAUGGCAUAUCUAGCAUAGUUCUUCCUCGAUCUGUUGGAAUCUCCAGCCAAUGUUGGGCCCCCAGCAAUCACCCUUACUGCAGGCUGCUCGUGCCUCAAUUUUCUGUCACUCUGCUCCCCCUCAUAUGUGGAGGCCACCAUCGGGAAAGUCCCAUCUAUAAACUCGUCCAGGUAUCGAUUUCUCACCAAAUCUUCGACCUGGGUCUUGAGAUCUCUGCAUUCUGUUGUUGUAUGGCCAUGAGCGGCAUGGAACUUGCAAUAGCGUCCCCUAUCCCUCCUGCUGGGUAGCUUUGUUAUUGGGGCCGGGAGGUACAGUAAUCCCCGGUCCUUUAUGGACUCGUACACCUCGCCCAGGGGCAUCUUCGGGGGAGUAUACCGCACAUAGUCCUGGUUCUGGUCGAUCAUAUGCACUGCCCUUUCUCUGUUUGUGCCGUUCUGAAUUGGUGGGGGUGGCGGCGCUUCUGGUCUGCUCCCCCUAUCACCAUGGGGGUGUGGAUGAGAAUGACCAUAAGCGGGGUCAUGCCUUCUCCAAGGCUCCCUAGCUGGUGAACGAGGAGGUUGCGCCUUGCUGCGCUGAUAUUGUGGAGGCCUCUGAUGAGGCUGAUAAGCGGUGGCCCGACCUCCCGUACCACUGCCCCCGAGGAGUAACAGCUUCGUGCGAUUCUCUGGUCUCCCCGUACCACUCCAACUACCCCAUUCACCCGGUACUUGAGAGCAAGAUAAUGGUUGGACAGUACUGCUUUGCUCAUCCUCAGAAACGGCCGACCUAGGAUCAUCUGGUAAGGACCCUCUUCAUCAACCACCACAAAAUUCAGUAUCAUAGUCCUUUCUGUCAGGGAGCUUCCGAUCGUGAUAGGCAGCUCGACCACACCCAGGCGGACCAACUUUCCUCCUCCAAAUCCCUUCAAGGAGGUGUUGGUGCGCUCCAAUCUCAGGUCUGCUAUUCCCAUCUCCUCUAGAGUGGACUUGAAUAACACAUCAACUGAGCUUCCUGUAUCGACUAGUAUCCGGUCAAACUUCUUGCUAGCAACAGUGGCCUUGAUGACUAAGGCAUCCUCGUGUGGGUAUAAAAUCCAUUCUUCAUCCUCGUCUGUCCACAUGAUUGGCACCUGCCUGACUCUUGCUCGUUUGCCUGCCGGGGUGUUGAAGAAUACCUCUUUACUAGUCAUGGCAUAUCUAGCAUAGUUCUUCCUCGAUCUGUUGGAAUCUCCAGCCAAUGUUGGGCCCCCAGCAAUCACCCUUACUGCAGGCUGCUCGUGCCUCAAUUUUCUGUCACUCUGCUCCCCCUCAUAUGUGGAGGCCACCAUCGGGAAAGUCCCAUCUAUAAACUCGUCCAGGUAUCGAUUUCUCACCAAAUCUUCGACCUGGGUCUUGAGAUCUCUGCAUUCUGUUGUUGUAUGGCCAUGAGCGGCAUGGAACUUGCAAUAGCGUCCCCUAUCCCUCCUGCUGGGUAGCUUUGUUAUUGGGGCCGGGAGGUACAGUAAUCCCCGGUCCUUUAUGGACUCGUACACCUCGCCCAGGGGCAUCUUCGGGGGAGUAUACCGCACAUAGUCCUGGUUCUGGUCGAUCAUAUGCACUGCCCUUUCUCUGUUUGUGCCGUUCUGAAUUGGUGGGGGUGGCGGCGCUUCUGGUCUGCUCCCCCUAUCACCAUGGGGGUGUGGAUGAGAAUGACCAUAAGCGGGGUCAUGCCUUCUCCAAGGCUCCCUAGCUGGUGAACGAGGAGGUUGCGCCUUGCUGCGCUGAUAUUGUGGAGGCCUCUGAUGAGGCUGAUAAGCGGUGGCCCGACCUCCCGUACCACUGCCCGAGGCAUGGUGGUCCCUCCUCUUGAUCGGCCCAUUUCCUGGUACGACUCUCUUUUCUUUCCUCUUCAACCCUUCUAGCUGGUCUGUCUUGAUCCGUACUGCCUUUUCUUCCUCGAUUUCUAUGUCUCUUUUGGCCUGCUCGUAAGCAGUCGAAUAUGUCUGAAUAGCUGGGCUUCUCAAGUUGUACCACAACCGUCCUAUCUUCACUCCUUCUUUCAGUCCCCUCAGUGCCUGAGGAUGGUUAAAGGCCCCCAAGUCGAGGACAGCACGAUGGAACCUUUUGAUGAAUUCCCGAAGGGUUUCCUCCUCUCUCUGCUUCAUGCUCGUCAGCUCCAUCAUAUCGUCUUCCGGUGCCAUUGCCACACGAAACUGCUCUACGAAUUCCUGGCACAUCUGCUCGAAGGUUUUAAUGCUCCCCCGAGGAAGCUUCUUGUACCACUCGCGUGCUCGUCCCUCUAGUGAUAGUGGGAACACCCUGCAUCUUUGGGCUUGAGAUAGUCCUUGCACCCCGGUUAUGUCGUUGAAGCGCUCUAGGUGCACCAACGGGUCCGUUCGCCCCGAAUAUAUGAGGUCUGGGAGGCGAAAAUCUCUUGGGAUGACUGUCCUCAUGAUCUCUGCCGAGAGCGGUGAUUCUCCGUCCAGCAUUAUCCUCCAACCAGGAGCUCUGCUCCUUCCUUGCAUGUCAUCAAUUACCUGCGCUAGUCUGCGCACUUCUUCCUCCAGCUGCACUGCACGACUAGGGUCACGUGCUGCAACUUGAUCCCGCUCUUGCUCUACAUCAUGUAAGUGUUGCCUGAGCUCUGUUUCCUCUGCAUUUGCCACCCCGUCGUCCUCAUCAAAAAUCUGUCUUGCCGGGGAUUACUCUUCCUCUCUAUGAAUUUCUCCCCGUAGAGAUAAGUUACCUCUCUCACCACCAAAUCUCCUGGUGGUUUGACUUCUCCUCGUACUAUCGUGACCUGGUGCCACUCCACCACCUCUCACCCUUUCCUCCUGGGUUCUCCUUCGUUCACUCCGCAGCUCAUGUAGGAUGGUUGUCAGGGUCUCCAUAUGCUUUUCCAUUCGUUCCAUCCGGUCAAACAUGGCUUUUUCCCGUGCUUCACUGGCUAUCUCCCUCAGCGUCACGGGAUCGUUAAGCCUCGUAUCACCCCCUUGUGCACUACUUCCUCCUGCCUCCAUUGUUUUUCCACUUGCUUUACUCCUCUUCUUGCUGUCAACAGAAGCUUUUUGCUCAGCUCCCCACAGAUGGCGCCAAAAUGUUGAUGCGAGAUUCUGGUUGUCCUCUUUCUACGACCAGGGUCUCUGCUCGAUCAACUUCACCACGAUCAGGAUCUCUCCUCGUAAAGCUUCUUCUUCAGAGGUUCCUGCGUACACAGACAGGUCAGAGUACGCCGGUUGUUUCCCCGGCACAAACCCUCUGACGCUCAAGUCAGAAAUAGGGGUUCUGGGAAUGUUUGCCACGAAUCUUAUGGCUUCUUUUUUAAUCUCAGUUCUUAGAGCUCUCUUUUCUUAGUUCUAAUAGCAAAAAGUCUAACCCUUUUACCUUCGCUGGCUACCUUUUUAUAGGCUUCCUCUGAAUCCCGGUCUUCCAUAGUCCACGCUCAUUAUUCUCCCCACCCUCGGAUAUGGAUGCCCCAUUGUUGUCAUUGUGGGCGAAUGGGGAUGGACUUCGUGCCUUGAUUCUCAGAUAGGAAUGCACGUCUUGCCAACUGUCGUUGACCGGGUCUUCUCGCCUCGACCCCUAGCAGGAAUGACCUUAUGCCUCUAACAGGAGAUUCGUCCUCGUGAAUGGCAUAUUUGUGGACGAGCAGAAUAUUCCUGCUCCUGUUUCCCUGCUACCAGGCUCUUACAGGACAUACCUGUUCGCAGAACUCUGCCACCAAAUAUUUGCUCAUCACGUUUGGUCUCGUCGAAGUAUUUCCCUCAAACAACCUUUGUAUCCAAAUAGCUUCCUUGCAAGCUUGUGUAGCUGCCAUGUAUUCUGUGUUUGUUGUAGAUAGAGCCAUAACGGUCUACAGUUUUGAAACCCAACUUACAGCAGCUCCCACAAGUAUAAACACAUAACCAGUAGUGAAUUUUCUUUUAUCAAUGUCUCCUGCAAAAUCUGAAUCCACAUGGCCCCUAAUAGUAAAUUCUGAUCCUCCAUAACAUUAUGCAACAUCGGAGGUUCCUCUGAUAUAUCUCAGAAUCCUCUUCACAGUUUUCCAAUGCUCUCCACCAGGAUUCGCCAUGUAUCGACUGACCGCUCUCACUGCUUGUGUAAUGUCUGGUCUUGUACAAAUCAUAGCGAACAUCAAACUUCCCAUUGCUGAUGCAUACGGUACUCGAGACAUGUCCUUCCUCUCUACUUCAUUGCUAGGAUACAUACUUGAGAAUAACUUGAAAUUAACAGGAAGUGGGGUAGAAAUUGGCUUACAAUCUUGCAUGUUGAAGGGCCGCAAGAUUUUCUUCAAGUAAUUCUUCUGAGAAAGCCAAAUUUUCCUGUUAUUUAUGUCUCGGUGAAUUUGCAUCCCUAAAAUCUUGUUUGCUGGUCCUAAGUCCUUCAUUUCAAACUCCCUAGCCAAUUGUGCCUUCAAUUCUUGGACUCAAACUUUGUUGGGGCCUGCUACCAACAUGUCAUCCACGUACAACAGAAAAAUGAUGAAAUCAUUAUCUUCAAACAUCUUGUAAUAUGCACAAUGGUCUGAACUGAGUCUGUUGUAUCCAAGGCUCAUGAUGAAGGAAUCAAAUCUCUUAUACCAACACCUCAACACCUGUUUGAGACCGUAUAGAGAUUUGUUCAACCUGCAAACCAACUUCUCCUUUUCCUUUUCAGCAAAACCUUUUAGUUGGAGCAUAUAACUUUCUUCAUCAAGUUCUCCAUGAAGAAAUACAGUUUUCACAACUGACUGCUCUAGAUGUAGGUCAAAUGUAGCAUACAUCGCCAAGACUAUUCUGACUAUCGUGAGUCGAACCACUGGAGAAAAUAUUUCGUUAAAGUCAAUACCUUUUUUUUGAGUAUAUCCUUUCACCACCAAUCUUGCACGAUACCGCUCCACUUGGUCAUUGCCAUCACGUUUGAUCUUGUAGACUCAUUUGUUACCAAUGGCUUUUUUUCUUGUGUAGAGCUUCAAUUUCUUCAUGCAUUGCUGUCAUCCACAAAGUAACAUAUGAGCUGUUUAAAGCUUCAUGGAAAGUUGAUUGCUCUCCAUCCUCUAUUAGAAGACAGUAUGCAACAUUGAUCUCUGUGACAUACUCUGAGUUCCACUGGCGGUAGUCUCUCACGAGUUGACCAACAAACUUCUGGAGCCUUGGACUCAACUGAUUCUUGUUCCUCGUGCUCUGGUGCUGCUUCAGAAGAAUCUGAAUCUUUUUUUCCAGAUUAUUUUUCACAUACACCGGUACAGUCUCUGACUUUUCUUUUACAGUGCUAUCAUCAUCAUCUCUCAUUUGCAUUUGAUCUUCUACAAAGAUAACAUCUCUGCUGAUGACGAUCUUGUGGGCAGUGGUGUCCCACAAACGAUACCCCUUUACUACAUCAGCAUAUCCCAAGAAGAUACACAUCCUAAAUUUUGGAUCUAACUUUGUUCUUUUUUGGGUAUUGUACAUCACGUACACAGGACAUCCAUAUGCAUAUAGGUAGAAGUAAUCAGCUGGCUUUCCAGUCCACAUCUCCAUAGUUAUUUUCAACCUAAUUGCUGUGGAUGGCGACCGAUUUACUAUAUAACAGACAGUUUUGGCUGCUUUUGCCCAGAAUGAAUUAGGUAGACUAGCAGUCCUCAACAUAGCUCUAUCCUUUCUGUAAGAGUCCUGUUCAUCCGCUCUGCUACUCCAUUUUGUUGAGGAGUAUAUACCACUGUAAACUGCCUCUGAAUGUCUUCUUGCUUACAGAAAGCAAGAAACUCGCUGUUUGUAUAUUCUCCACCAUUAUCUGCCCUUAUGCACUUGAUCAUUUUGCCAAAUUCAAGUUCCACCCAUGCUUUGUAUUCUUUAAACACUGCAAAUACAUCUGACUUUUUCUUGAUUGGAUACACCCAACAUCUCAUGGAAUAAUCAUCAAUGAAAGUCACCAUGUACUUUGCACCUCCCAUGGAUAUGUAUGGGGAUUCCCAAAUAUCAGAGUGAACUAAGUCUAGAAUGCAUUUACUUCUAGCAAUAGAUCUGCUGAACUUUAAUCUAUACUGCUUACUUGUAACACAAUGCUCGCAAAAUGGUAAGCUUACCGAUUUGAGCCCCGGAAGCAAUUUUCGCUCAGAGAGAAUCUUCAAACCUUGUUUUGACAUAUGGCCAAGUUUGAGAUGCCACAUCAUCAUUGACUCUUCUUUAUUUGAUGCGAUACACUCAUCAACCUCAUGUAAUGUUUCUCCUUUAAGCAUGAAUAGAUUAGCACCGAUAUUUUCUGCCUUCAUCAAUACAAGCACUCCUUUAACAAUAUUCAUGAUCCCAUUUUCUACAUGAGUUUUAUACCCAUGAUUAUCCAUUUGUCCCAAAGAUAAUAGAUUCUUAUUCAAGCCUUUUACAUGUCGUACCUCCCUAAUUAUGUGAAUUGUACCAUCAAACAUUUUUAUUUUGAUAGUACCAAUACCAAUGAUCUCCAAGGCAUGAUCAUCUCCCAUAUAUACAGAUCCUCCUGAGAUAGGUUCAUAUGUGUGGAAUUAUUCUCUCCGAGAGGUCAUGUGCCAGAUAGCUCCUGAGUCUAUAAGCCAGACAUUAGAUAGUCGUUUUCUACAUUCUGAAAUAGUUGUUGCCUCACUGUAGAGAAUUUCGCCAUCAUCCAAGGUACUUGCUACACACCCCUGAGCAUUUGAUGACUCAGGUUCUUUGCCCUUUUUUCUCUUCUGGUUACUCCAACACUCUUUCUUGACUUGCCCUUUCUUACUACAGUUGCAACAUUUAACAUUCUUCUUACUUCUGAUUUUGAUCUACCAUGAUUGUGACUCCCACUGACGUUCUGUUGAUCUCCCUCUCGUCACCGAUAGCGCUUUCGCUUACUGUAAAUUUGCUUGUCUGUUUUCCUUAUUUUUCCGCCUGCUCUCCUCAUUUAAUACGGAGGCUACAAUAUCGUCGAAAACCAGACUGUUCGCUGGAUUGUUGUUCGUCAGGUUGAUGAUGAGUUGAUCAUACGAAUCUGGUAGAUUUUGAAGUAGAAGCUCUGCACUUUCAUUUUCCUCUAUAUUAUGACCCAACGUUGUGAGUUGUGAAAAUAGAGUUUUCAAGGUGUUGAUGUGAUUGGUCACCGUUGUAGAUUCCGUCAUUCGAAGAGUAUAGAGUUUUUUCUUCAAGAAAAUUUUGUUGUGUAGUGACUUGGCCUCGGACAAUUUUGUGAGAGUAUCCCAUAUUUCCUUCGCUGUAUUUUUCUCUGCCACACUGGAUAAUACUCCAUCCACAAGUGCCAAGUGUAGAUCAGAAAUGGCGUUGUCAUCUAUCUCGUUCCACUUGUCAUUAGUUAUCUCCAUGGGCCUUUCUUCAAUUGCUGCCAAGUAAUUAUUUUUCCUUAAUACAACUUUCAUCUUCAUUUUCCAUAACGAAAAAUUAUUUACGUUAAACUUCUUAAUUUCAUACUUUACCGCCAUUUUUUUGAUAAAUAUUGUACAUAAACUAGUGUAUCACCUUGAAUAGUUGUGAGUAUGUGUGAAUAUGCACACCAAGAAAGUUUCCAGGAAAGACUGGAGGGGUCACAACAGUCCCACUUAAAACCCAAACUCCUUAGGUUCUUAUCGCCUUUGUGACAGAACUUUCCUAGACAUGUAAAAACCACACAGUUGUUUUACUCACACUACUAUUCCCUGCUUUGCACCACAAAAUUCUUGGAUUGCUCCCACCGUUUUUCGUGAACAGUACCGUAUCUAUGAAUAAUGCCAUAUACGUGAACAACGCCUGACUCCAAAGAAUACAACCAAUAGCUCUGAUACCACUGUUAGGAAUUUGGUGGGUGAAGCAGGGCCACAGCUAAAAUGAAAUUGAAAGAAAAUAAAGAACAAGCACAAAAGAGGAUACUAGAAAAUUACGUGGUUCGACUUUUAGCCUACGUCCACGGAUGAAGACAGAAGAAAAAUAUUUUACUAGUGAAAAAGAAUUACAAGUAUUGUAGUAUUUUAUCUCACUACGUAAAAUCCCAAUAUACCCAAACUCUCAAAUCACUAUAACAAGAGCUUAUAAUUUCAAGCUCUCUUAACUCUCUCUAAAAUGCUAAAUUGCUCUCUCUCAAUGUAAUGAAUUUGCUCAUUCUCUUCGUUUCUAUUUAUAGAGAAAGUUUUGGCACUAUUCAUCAAUUAUAUAUUAUUUUUAUUAUUUUAUUAAUUUUUUUUCCUUUACCCUUUUUGGGCCGUUUCUAUUUAUUCCUUCUUUCUCUAUUUUUUUUUUCUUUUUCCAGUUAAAGACGAAAGCAAUUCCUUCUUCUUCAAAAUGGGCAGGCGCACCUUCUAGCACCUAAGGGUGGUGCCCGCAUGCUAUAUUUUUGUCAUAAAUGUAAGUUCUUCAAAAAGGUCAAUAGCUCCAUUGACAUCAACUAGUGUAGAUUUACAUUAUCAUGGAAAGCUGACCUGCUCAUUUCUGCAACACUAGCCAUCCGUCCGGCUUUCUUCAUAAUCGAUUCCAGAUCUGCCUCUCUUCUGGAUCUUUUAGUAAGAUGAUUAGAGAUUACGUCAUCUAUUUGCUUCGUACGUUCUUCCAUUUGCUUCUUACAUUCCUCUAUUUGCUUCUUACGUUUCUCUAGUUCUGCUGUUCCUUCUUCAACCUCUCGAGCAAGCUCAGCUUUGUUGGCAUGAAGCUUGUAAAUGGCGCUGUCCUUGUAUACUUGAGCAUUAAAUCCGUAAUUAGCGUCCGCUAUACUCUUCAAAUGUUCAAAGGCAAACUCAAUUUUAUGCCCUCCAUGUUGCACUAACUUGAGUCGAUGCCACCAAGUGAACAUUAAUUCAUCUGUGAUAUCUAUUAUGCGAGUUUCGCACAGGCCAUUCACAACACCGCAUAAUAACACAAGGAAAGCCUUCAUUAGACCGGGGCUUAAAUCACAACUGUCACUAAUAAUAUCCCCAAAUUUUUCAAACAACGUUUUGCAAACUGAAAUAAAGUCUUUGUAAUCAGCAUCAUCAGAAAGAAGUUUGUCAGGAUUCAAGAUUUCGUCCAUUGUCUUUGGUGCACUUGAUUUGAUCUUUACUAUCAACUGUAACAAGGUCUCAUCCGAAUAAGGAUAGUUUUCCAGAAAACUAUGGUUACCUUCAGUACUGCUGGUUUUUGAUAAAGUCUCAACUGAUGCAUUCUAUUUCCUUGUCUAUGUCCUCCACAAUGGCCUCUAUUUUGUUUUUCUCCUCUUCCGUAAUAGAUUCAACUUCAUCUAUAUCCUCUAGAAUGGCCUCUAUUUUCUUUUUCUCCUCUUCCUUAUCAGAAAUCUCUCUAUUGUUAAUUCUUAACUGUACAUCUCCACGCUUUCCCAUUAGACAAAGUAUCACCUAUAUAUAAAGCAAUAUGAAAUUAGGUAUAUUGAUUAAGCUAGAUUAGAAAGAUGCUAAUAAUGAUAAUUGAUUUUCUCAAAUAUAAUAAGUGUACCUCAGGUAGCAUGCAGUUAAAUUCUGCAACGAAGUCACAUUCUACACAAUAGUAAAUGCAUUCUUGUCGGUCUCUUUUCUCCUCGCAAAUAUCACAGAAUUCCUCUUCAUAAUCAUCAUCAACAAAUUUAUCCAUGAGGGUGAGGGAGUGAUGGUGACUCUCAUGUUGAAUAGCCUUUGGUAAAGGAGCACACCAGAGAUGGAUGGUGAAAUCGCAUUUCACACAACGUAUAUAGUGAGCACUGGGGCUCAAGUUGUAGUUGGCUUCACAUCUAGGAUUGCCAUACAACUUCUCAAAAAUGGUAAGCUUGUGCUGAUGGUCUUUGACUAUUAGUGAAAUCAUUGGUUGCAGUCAGGAUCCAGAUAGAAGUUAUCACAAUCGUCACAGUGGUAAGCGAAGCCAUUGAAAUAUUUAUUACAAGCACUGCAUUGAUGGCUUGGUACAGAAAAAUGUAGAGUGAGAACAUGUUGAUGGAAUCGAUGUUGGAUCUCUCUCGGCAACUCAGCACAAGAUUUGAAAUGAUAAAGUUUGCAGGAAUCACAGCUAUAUGCUGGCCCUUGCGCUGGUCUAUCACAUCCAUAGCAAAAUUGAUCAUCAUUAUCCUCAUUUUCACAUAGAACAAAGACAUGUGGGUGGCUGAAAUGUUUCAGCAGUUCUCCUCUGUCACUCUGCUCUAACGUUUUGACACCACAUUCCACAUGAAAACUGACUUUACAUUCCAAACAACUGAGAAAGGGAGAACCCAGAAGAAUGUCAAAACCACAUGUACUGCAUUCUCUCCUUUGAGAAGACAGAUUGACAUUUAUUAGAGUAACAAGAUGCUCAUGACCACUGUACUGUAUGUUUGGAGUCAGAGAUCUGGCGCAUUCAAUAUGCAACUCAAAUUUGGGCUCAUCACAAAUAAAGCACUGGUAAAAUUUGUCUAAACAACCCUGGGAACCACAGGCUUGACAAGAAGACAUUUUCCUAUAAUCACUGUCCAUUACGAGAUUCACAUCAUGGGAGGGAUGAAGAGGAUGUCUGAUAGGGGACGGCGGAUUUUUAGAGCAUGAUUUAUGGAUGUACAAGUUACAUGGGGUGCAGCCAUAGAUUGGACCACUGAUGUUGUUGGAGUAGCAUAACUCGCACCUCGUACUAUCUUCCUCUAUGAGGGUCAAGGGAUCCAAAUGACUGGAAUCAUAUUUCAUGAGCAUUAAAGCCAAUUGGUAACCAAUCUCAAAACUUCACACAUCACAACAGAACUUAUAGGGAUUCUGUAUCUGUGAUCGCUCAAUCAUAUGCUUGUAAGGUAGAGUACUACUAGAGUAUUUUUCUACGAGGUGUAGAGAGCCGUGUGGAUGAAAGGUGAUUUGGAUCUCAUGGGGUAAUUCAACACAUGAUUUGUGGAAAAGAGGAGUGUUUGGCCAGCAUAGUUUGCAAAAAUAAUAACUGCCUUCAAAAAACUCGCUGCCACAAGGAAAGCAACAUUUGUUUUCAAACUUGCACUUGCCACAAACAUAGGAUUCAUGUUCAUUCAUGCACAAAGGGUCACCACACCCAUAGCAAUUAAGCUUUCCACCUUCAUUCUCAUACAGUACUAUUGGAUGCUUGUGCAGUAUAUAGUUCUUAAUCUCCUUUUCUGUUUCCCCUUCCCCAGUUUCUGUCCCUAAAAACAUGUACGUAUUUGCAAUUAUUAGUGGAUAAGCUCAAGUUUAUCAUCAUUUUCCUUAUUUUUAAUUAGUUUUAUUUAACCUACUUUUCUCUUUGGGAGACUAUUUUUACUCAAAAAGCACCCGUAAACUAAAAGUUAGGAUGAGUUUUUGGUGAUCUUCCGAGCACUACUUUAUUUUUUAUGCAUAAAAUAUGUCAAGAAAUAUUGUCACAAUUAGUCGAAACAUACAUGUGACAAGAAGUGAAUGACAAGAGAGCAGUGCUCUUGGAGCAUCAAAGAUUUUUUUUCUAUUUGUUGCUCAUAAUUUGAGACUCAUAAACUGUUCAAUAGAUAUAAUGAAAUGAAAUUUAUAAAAAAAAAAAGAAGAAAUUAAUCUAAGUGACUCACUACUUUGGGGAGACGGAUCAAUAACAGCGUUCUCAUGUAUAUAUGACUCAUGCAUCUAUUUUUAUUGUUUCUUUUCAAAAAUUGUUACUAACCAUAUCAUAUGAAUUUGGAUCCUCUCCUUUGAAAAGAUUUUUGAUGUUCCUUAUUCAUUCAUUAUUUGCCAUGUGUGUAUGCAUAUAAUUAUGAGUAGUUGAAGUAUAUACACAAUAAGGAGUAGAAAGAAAACAAUAAUUAAUGCUCUAUGAGCACCCAAGAAUCUUCUCAUGUCCUAACUUAAUUUUUCCUAAAUAUUCGUAGAAGAUUUUGUCAUAUCGCAUUGAAGAAAUUAUGACAUAUUUUUAAUAGAAAAGCUUAAUCUGGGCAAAGAAAAAGCUCCAGGACUUACCUUUAUCAGCAAAUUCCUCCAUUUCGGUGGAGUCGGAUAUAUUAGUAAGUCUUUUUUAUUCACGUACUAUCAACAAUUGAUCUAUUAACAAUUCUUCCUUGCACAUCUCCCAACUCCCCCUCCAACGAACAAAUUACCUAAGAAGCAACCCAAAAAAAAAAAUGUAACUUAAGAGAUGGGGAUAAACUAUAAUUUAGCCAAAUAAUGUUUCAACAACAAAUGGGAUUAAUGGUGGAUCAUAAAUCUAGUCCAUACAACCUUGAAGCCCAAAUGAUCUUUAACCUAGCUAGCCCAUAGAAGCUUCUUUAGGUAAUGAUUUGUGGUGUUAAAUAUGGUAAAUUGGUAAAUAGAAUAUGUGGUGUUGAGUAUGAUUGUUUGGUUUGAUGUGUGGAUUUUUUUUUAAUAAUUAAGUUAAUGUAUGUUUGUGAUUAAGUUGCAACAAUUAUAAAUACCUCCUCUUUCAGUUAAUCAUCUCA
rnacentral:lncRNA from 1 species